AUUGAACGCUGGCGGCAGGCUUAACACAUGCAAGUCGAGCGAGCGGCGGACGGGUGAGUAAUGUCUGUGAAACUGCCUGAUGGAGGGGGAUAACUACUGGAAACGGUAGCUAAUACCGCAUACCAUCAGAUGUGCCCAGGUGGGAUUAGCUAGUAGGUGGGGUAACGGCUCACCUAGGCGACGAUCCCUAGCUGGUCUGAGAGGAUGACCAGCCACACUGGAACUGAGACACGGUCCAGACUCCUACGGGAGGCAGCAGUGGGGAAUAUUGCACAAUGGGCGAAAGCCUGAUGCAGCCAUGCCGCGUGUGUGAAGAAGGCCUUCGGGUUGUAAAGCACUGUCAGCGAGGAGGCGUUACCCGCAGAAGAAGCACCGGCUAACUCCGUGCCAGCAGCCGCGGUAAUUC
rnacentral:rRNA from 1 species